GUAAAUGAACAUAGUAAAACGAUUCAAACGCCAUCCGCAAAUUAACCCAACGAGGAACAAAAUUGUGAAAGCAAUGAGAAGCUUUGCAUUUCGACGAUUCCGGUGAAGAACGUUUUUCACCUGAAUAACUUCUGUUGGAUCGUUCUGAAGGGCUAAAGACUUACUAAAAUGACUUUCAAGGCUCACUGGCUCAUUUUGAAUUUCGCGAUUUUGACCAUCCCCUGCUUUACCAGUAUCUUUCUUUGCAGUGGACUUUAAAGUAGACACGGAAAAAGGUAAAUUCUUCUCUAUCACGUUAUCACCUUUUAGAGAUAUGGAAGGGUUCAGGGAAAAUUUACUUGGCUGAUUAGACGUCGUAUGAAUAGAAUCGUUUACUUUGUUGCCCACUUCUUGAGGAACCAGUUUCGAUAAAGGAGAAUUUUGAAGCUGAAGAGUAGGUUUAAGCAUCGGUCGAACAGGACUAGAUGUUGGAAGGGCGGCCAUUUUUUUUUGAAGAAAAGUCAUAGGGGAUUCCUCCGGAGCUCUCUCACGAACAGACUGAUUUCCCAAAUGAGACGUUGCGUUGGUAUUAUUCAGAAUUGAAAUUGUCGCAAAUUGCUGCAAUUUAUUCUGCCCACUAAUUCCAUCUUUUCUGUCACUCGAUUCCUUUCCUAUCCGAUGCACAGAAGAUGUACUUUCCUGACGCUUCUUGCGUGGUUUCAAAAUUUCGCCAGUCAAAUGAACUUCUGGAGGAGGACUUGGCUUUAAACAUGAGAUGCUAAUCCAUGUAAAACAAAUGGUAACAAAGAAAAAGGCUGCAUGUAUUUGACGGAGUAAAAAAUCACUUUCAAGAUUGGUAUCCGAGCUUAAGUUCAAAAUUUCCGACUCAUAACAUGAAAGGAGAUACAAGCAAGUUAAACGGAUAAUAAGAUAAAGUGCCUGACAUUGGAUAUACUGAUCCCGCCCAAAAAGCUCCCAAGAUGGAUUGUCC